rnacentral:rRNA from 1 species
AUACGGAGGGUCCAAGCGUUAUCCGGAAUCAUUGGGUUUAAAGGGUGCGCAGGCGGUUUAUUAAGUCAGUGGUGAAAUCUCGGGGCUCAACCUCGAAACUGCCAUUGAUACUGAUAAACUUGAGUUCAGUUGGAGUAGGCGGAAUGUGUAGUGUAGCGGUGAAAUGCUUAGAUAUUACACAGAACACCGAUAGCGAAGGCAGCUUACCAAACUGAUACUGACGCUGAGGCACGAAAGCGUGGGGAGCGAACAGGAUUAGAAACCCCAGUAGUCC